UAUAAAUUGAGAGUUAAAAAAAAUAAUUGAUUAUUAGUUAAUUAAUAUAUUACUAAAUUUUUUAUAUAAUUGAUAUGAAAUAAAAAAUAUAAUGAAAAUAUUUAUAAAUUUAAAAAAUUUGAUUUAGUAAACUACUCGGUAAAAAAAGUGCCAGCAGCCGCGGUUAGACUUUAGAGUAAAAUUAGAGUUGCUAAAAAUUAAAUUUAUUUUUUGUUUUAUAGGUUUAAUUAAUAAAGGAUAAAAAUAAAUUGAAAUUAAGGUUUAAAAAUCUAAAAUAAAACGAGAUUAGAACCUUGGUAUAAGAUUUGUAAAUAGUAAAGUAGUUUUAAAAACUUAAAAUAAGUGGCUGUAGUUUAUUCUUAUUAGAGAAUUUUGAAAAAUAAUUUGACUAUCCCCAAUUUUAUUUACUUUAAAAAAUUUUAUGUGUGAUUGUUUAUAAAAUAAUUAAAUAAUUAAAUUUAAAUCAAAUAACAUGUAGAUAUUUAAAGGAUUUUUGAAAUGCGAUUUAAUUUUUAACAAAAAUUUUAAAAUAUAAUAGGAUUUAAAAGUAAUUUUAAAAAAAUGAAUAAGUUUUAAAUUAAGCUCAUAUUGUCCGUCGCUCUCUUAUAGAGAUAAGUCGUAGCAAAGUAAAGGUUAUAGAAAUAGCCUUUAAAUUUU
rnacentral:rRNA from 1 species